rnacentral:tRNA from 1 species
AGGGAUAUAGCUCAGUAGUAGACCACGUGCUUAGCACACACGAAGACUGGGGUUCAAACCCCAGUACCUUUG